rnacentral:sRNA from 1 species
AACUUCUCUCGGAGCAGCCGGAGAGCAGGCGUCCGGACGCAGCAAAGAGAGGAGAGGCCACCAUGGCGGAGCUGCAGGAGGUGCAGAUCACAGAGGAGAAGCCACUGUUGCCAGGACAGACGCCUGAGGCGGCCAAGACUCACUCUGUGGAGACACCAUAUGGCUCUGUCACUUUCACUGUCUAUGGCACCCCCAAACCCAAACGCCCAGCGAUCCUUACCUACCACGAUGUGGGACUCAACUAUAAAUCUUGCUUCCAGCCACUGUUUCAGUUUGAGGACAUGCAGGAAAUCAUUCAGAACUUCGUGCGGGUUCAUGUGGAUGCCCCUGGAAUGGAAGAGGGAGCCCCUGUGUUCCCUUUGGGAUAUCAGUACCCAUCUCUGGACCAGCUUGCAGACAUGAUCCCUUGCGUCCUGCAGUACCUAAAGUGAGAGGCCUGGGAACCCCUCCAAACCAGAGUUCUCUUUCCAGCACAAGGAGACCCUUAGAACUUCCAGGUUCACCAUGGUUCCUGAGCCAGUUUCAGCUUCUGAACUCAAUAUAUCUUCUUCCUUCAUGCUCCCACCUUGAUUAUUGAGAAAAGGUGGUGGGUUUCGAAAAUUGGCCAGAGUCAGCAGAGUAGCCCUAAUGGAUGGAGGGAAGGAAAAGGGUCUAUGC